CAAUUCGAAUUAUCGUUUGCUAUAGUAGAAAUAACAGAAUUCAAACUUUCAAGUAGGGGAAACUCAAUCAAAUUUGUAACUGUCUCAAUAUAAUCUUUUCCCUUUUUCUUUCUAAAUGUUCUGUUAAGACCAUUUCAAGGCUCCUUUUCGCCAUGCAUAAACUAA
rnacentral:rRNA from 1 species